GUAUAAUAGUCGAAACGGAUAAGUACUAUUGGGCACUUUUCAGAAAGUCUGCGGUGGCUGUGAGCAGAUAAGGAGAAAAUAGGAAAUUCUACCGUUAGUUUAAAAAUGAAUAAUUAAUCAAGUGCACUUUUGUGAAGUUGGAUGGAACCGCGGCUCUGCCGCUCCAACA
rnacentral:misc_RNA from 1 species